GUUCUAGCUCCUUUUGUUUAGCGUGUCAGAGACUGGGAGAAGAUGAUUGGCACUCCCUGGCUCCUUUGGAUGUACAGCUGUCCAGAUCCCUAGAACAUACCCUCCAUUCUGACGAGUUAUCAGUGCAUAGGGUGCUUACUAGAUUCUUGCCAGCCAGUACAGUUCAAGCUACACACAGCACCGCUCAACUAUUCUCUACCCCAUUAUCUAGCUAAAUCUGGUCCAACUAGACAGCAGACACAGCUAGUUAAUUCAGUAAAGCCAGGGGUAGCUGUACUUCUACGGUUGUUCAGUACCCACGGUAACAAUUCCUCUGGGCCGGGCUAACUAGUUGAGCCACGCCUCCCAAUUCUCAAGGCUAGGUACAUGUCUCUGUCUAGCUGCUUCUUCAGCUUCUUGCUCAGUUUUGUGGCUUAGAGAAAGGCCAGCUACUCAGGGGGAAGAGUCCAGAUGAAAGUCUGGCAGCCAGGUGACGUCCAAACGGUCAGUUAUUCUUUCCACCAACUUUUUAAUCUAGUCUAGUCCUGCUUGCACUGCUACUACUACUGCUACUCUUCCUACUACUACUGCUGCUAAGUCAAAGGUUUCUUUUUUUUUUUUUAUAACUACAUAUGCACAAAGAGACAUCAAAGCUUACAUCAAAGGACACAGAUUUUUAGCCUACUUGACUGAUAAGGCCGUUACCUAGACUACAGUUUGUUUGUCAGGGAGGAGCUCACAUACAACUUCAUCUAAUUCAUCAUAACGAUUCGUUACCGUUGUUGUAAUUUCUACAACAGAUUGCCAAGGAAAGAGAUAUCAAGGUACUUUUUGCCACUCAAAAUGCCGGAUAUAUGUAACCACGCCCCUUUUCCAAGAGUUGUUAUGUGGUCACACCCCUUUUUGGCCGGACGUGGGCGGAUCUGCAUAACCUCUAUUGUUGCCUCGAACCCAGGCCGCAGGGAAAAGCGGCCUGGGUGUACACUGUACUGCGCAUGUGAACUAUUACCCAAAAUAAUUAUGGGUAUAUAGUGGAGAUAUCUUAUUAUAUUUUACAAUGAUGUCAUUGCACAAAUCACAGCAGUUUUAAUAAAAUAACACAGCUACUUACAACAUUUAUGGCCUAGACUAGUGACUAGUAUUGUUGUGAUGGCUUCUACUUCUGUUCUGCUCUUGCUCAAGCUAUCUUCAGUGUUGAAAAGUCAGGUUUUGUCUUCUUUUGUAGUGGUGGGCGUUUUUAUGUCAGUACCGACCGGCUCUGGCAAGUCUACUUGCUUCCAGACGCUGCCAUCUCAGUAAGAUCAGUGUUCCUUGUAUGAGCCUAGAGUUGUGAUGGCGAUUUCUCUCUUAGUUUAAUCAUAGAUAGUGUAGUAAGAGGGAUUGGAAACGGACCGCGAUUGUUGGCCAGUCCAGGCUGCGCAGGAAGUUAAUUCACUGCACUGGAAGCUAAUAAUAGUUUCUUCACAUCACCUUGGGAUAUAUAUGGGAUGGCAGCACAGAUUACAGAGCAGACAGACAGCAUAUGAGACUUGAGAAGAGCUAGAGCUAAAGAGCAGUGAUGAGCAUUGAAGGGAAACACUCUACUGAGAUCGAGAGAAUCCACUAAGCCUCUGUUUGUGAAGACGAAGGAUUCAAAAUAUUUAGUAGUGCAUGCCAGCAUCAUGUAACUGCACUGACUUUAGCAACAAAGUUGUAGCUAUGAAUGAGGGAAAUACAAUUUAAUAGCU